AAGUGGAACAAGUGGAAAAAAACUGCAAUAAUAAAAACUCAUUAGUGGGCAAUGUUUCAAUCAGCUCUGUGUUAGCAGCAUUGACAAUUCAAAAAAAGUCUUCAAAAUGUGUUUUUUAUUUUUUUUUUUUUAUUUUAUGUUAACCCCCAAAAAGUUUAAAAAGACAAAGUUCAAAAUAUAAUUAGCAGGCCUGUAAAAGAGGUUAACUAAAUGUAACUCUACAAAAAGUAAUUUCCAGAAACUUAAUCACACAACUUCAGUCACAAACUGACCUAAACACAAAGACGCAGGAGGGUAGCUUUUAUAGUGGUUUGGCCAAACCAUUUACACACAAUAGGGGGAAACAUAAACAAACACCAAUACUAACUGAGCACAGAAUAACGUAAGUAAACCUAAAACACCCCCAUUUCUCACAAGCACUUGGUUGGUCCUGCUGAACAGGUGUUUUUAAAGUCCUCAGCCCUUGGCAGUACCUUUUGCCUAGACAGAAAAGAGCCACCUCUCCAAACCAGGAGGAUCUCCCUGCCCGAGUCCUUUCUGCAAGCAGACAUCAUCCUCAGCACGCUGCAGAACAUCACAGAGGGUCUUGUGGUCUACCCCAAAGUCAUCGAGAGACACAUCCGCCACGAGCUGCCCUUCAUGGCCACAGAGAACAAUAUUAUGAAUUUCUGGACAAACAGGUGAGUCUCACCUUGGGCAAGAGGAUGUUGAAGCCAUCACGCA